rfam:Gossypium arboreum cultivar AKA8401 contig_2148_3, whole genome shotgun sequence.
UGUUAAAAAUUUCAUCUAAGUUUGCUUUUAAAAAUGGCAUAACUGACGUAAUAAAUAAAUAGUUACAUGCUACAUGCCACGUGCACAUCAGAUUGAUGUACAGUGACCAAUUUUUAAUAGUAAAAAUUGAUGAAAUUUUUAACA